UUUAGUCCAUCCAUUUUCUUGUCACCGUUCUUGAGAAUACAACGAGUCACUGUAUUCUUAUGGAGGAAAAUCUUUAUUUUGUUAGUCGUUGACAACGACUAACAAAAUAAAGGAAACAGUUUUAUUUUGUUAGUAAAUAAAUAAAGGUAACAGUCAGAAAGGACAACAAUUUUAAACAAAAAUUGCACCAUCAUGAUCACAGGAUUAGUAUUACUUCUCAGCCUGAUAGCACAGGAGAGACCUCAAAUCAACUCUGGAAUUGCCUUAUCCACCCUCCCCUGGGGCCAAAUGUUUCAUUAUGGUCAUUUCAACCACCAAACGACAAUGUUUGAAUGUUUGAAUUAUCAUACAACCAGAUCAAACCACUUCAUCUUGCCCUCUUGGAAUAAUUUGCUGCCGAAAUAGUUUGACGUUCAGCAAAUAAUUUGAAUCACAUCAAGUCUUUACCACCAGUUUUUCCUGUACAUGGACACGACACAAAUAUGUAAAACCGGAUAAUCUCCGGGAAACAAUUAUAUUUGUUUUCAAAAUGUUAUUUUAAAACUACACGUAAAAAAUUGUACCAUCAGAGGCUUUUAAUGACUUUGGAUUAAGUCGUGAAUGAAAACCUCGGCUAAAAAAUUGCAACGAAUGGUAAAAAAA